rnacentral:rRNA from 1 species
GCAGUCGAACGCUUCUACUUCCACCGAGUGCUUGCACUCACCGGAAGAAGAGGAGUGGCGGACGGGUGAGUAACACGUGGGCAACCUGCCUAUCAGAGGGGGAUAACACUUGGAAACAGGUGCUAAUACCGCAUAAUUAUCUAGACCACAUGGUCUGGACAUGAAAGACGCUUUCGGGUGUCACUGAUAGAUGGGCCCGCGCUGCAUUAGCUAGUUGGUAGGGUAACGGCCUACCAAGGCCAUGAUGCAUAGCCGACCUGAGAGGGUGAUCGGCCACACUGGGACUGAGACACGGCCCAGACUCCUACGGGAGGCAGCAGUAGGGAAUCUUCGGCAAUGGACGAAAGUCUGACCGAGCAACGCCGCGUGAGUGAAGAAGGUUUUCGGAUCGUAAAACUCUGUUGUUAGAGAAGAACAAGGAUAAGAGUAACUGUUUAUCCCUUGACGGUAUCUAACCAGAAAGCCACGGCUAACUACGUGCCAGCAGCCGCGGUAAUACGUAGGUGGCAAGCGUUGUCCGGAUUUAUUGGGCGUAAAGCGAGCGCAGGCGGUUUCUUAAGUCUGAUGUGAAAGCCCCCGGCUUAACCGGGGAGGGUCAUUGGAAACUGGGGAACUUGAGUGCAGAAGAGGAGAGUGGAAUUCCAUGUGUAGCGGUGAAAUGCGUAGAUAUAUGGAGGAACACCAGUGGCGAAGGCGACUCUCUGGUCUGUAACUGACGCUGAGGCUCGAAAGCGUGGGGGAGCAAACAGGAUUAGAUACCCUGGUAGUCCACGCCGUAAACGAUGAGUGCUAAGUGUUGGAGGGUUUCCACCCUUCAGUGCUGCAGUUAACGCAUUAAGCACUCCGCCUGGGGAGUACGGCCGCAAGGCUGAAACUCAAAGGAA